GUCCAGACUCCUACGGGAGGCAGCAGUGGGGAAUAUUGCACAAUGGGCGAAAGCCUGAUGCAGCAACGCCGCGUGAAGGAAGAAGGGUUUCGGCUCGUAAACUUCUAUCAACAGGGACGAAAGAAAUGACGGUACCUGAAUAAGAAGCCCCGGCUAACUACGUGCCAGCAGCCGCGGUAAUACGUAGGGGGCAAGCGUUGUCCGGAUUUACUGGGUGUAAAGGGCGUGUAGCCGGGCCGGCAAGUCAGAUGUGAAGUCCCAAGGCUCAACCUUGGAACUGCAUUUGAAACUGUUGGUCUUGAGUAUCGGAGAGGCAGGCGGAAUUCCUAGUGUAGCGGUGAAAUGCGUAGAUAUUAGGAGGAACACCAGUGGCGAAGGCGGCCUGCUGGACGACAACUGACGGUGAGGCGCGAAAGCGUGGGGAGCAAACAGGAUUAGAUACCCGCGUA
rnacentral:rRNA from 1 species